rnacentral:rRNA from 1 species
CAAUAGCGUGUAUUAAAGUUGUUGCAGUUAAAAAGCUCGUAGUUGGAUUUCUGGGAGGGUGCCGCCGUCCGGCGUGUCCGUGUGCAGUGGCGCCCUUCCAUCCUUCUGUUAGCGUCUCUUGGCAUUCAUUUGCUGGUGGCGGGCUCAGAUAUUUUACCUUGAGAAAAUUAGAGUGUUUCAGGCAGGCUAGGCCGGAAUACAUUAGCAUGGAAUAAUGGAAUAGGACUACGGUCUCUUUGUUGGUUUGAGGGACUGCAGUAAUGAUUAAUAGGGAUAGUUGGGGGCAUUAGUAUUUAAUUGUCAGAGGUGGAAUUCUCAGAUUUGUUAAAGACUAACUUAUGCGAAANCANNNGCCAAGGAUGUUUUCAUNAA